rnacentral:lncRNA from 1 species
AUCUUUGCACUACUGAUAAGUUGAUUUUAUAUACGUGAUUUAAUAUCCAUUUCAUGCUUAUUUGUUGCUAAAUUCUUGUGAUCAUGUUCCUUUUUACUUGUUUUAUGUUAUUUCUUGUAUAGGUUGGUUGUUGAGGCAUUUUACGGAUAUGUGGAAUCAAUUGGGAUGAUUUGAGGUCAAUUAGAGUAAAAUUGGAGUACAGCAUGAAAAUCAGCAAAUUCAUUUGGCA